AGAAGCAGCCAUCAUUUAAAGAAAGCGUAAUAGCUCACUGGUCGAGUCGGCCUGCGCGGAAGAUGUAACGGGGCUAAACCAUGCACCGAAGCUGCGGCAGCGACACUAUGUGUUGUUGGGUAGGGGAGCGUUCUGUAAGCCUGCGAAGGUGACCUGUGAGGGUUGCUGGAGGUAUCAGAAGUGCGAAUGCUGACAUAAGUAACGAUAAAGCGGGUGAAAAGCCCGCUCGCCGGAAGACCAAGGGUUCCUGUCCAACGUUAAUCGGGGCAGGGUGAGUCGACCCCUAAGGCGAGGCCGAAAGGCGUAGUCGAUGGGAAACAGGUUAAUAUUCCUGUACUUGGUGUUACUGCGAAGGGGGGACGGAGAAGGCUAUGUUAGCCGGGCGACGGUUGUCCCGGUUUAAGCAUGUAGGCUGGUUAUCCAGGCAAAUCCGGAUAAUCAAGGCUGAGGUGUGAUGACGAGGCACUACGGUGCUGAAGUAACAAAUGCCCUGCUUCCAGGAAAAGCCUCUAAGCAUCAGGUAACAUCAAAUCGUACCCCAAACCGACACAGGUGGUCAGGUAGAGAAUACCAAGGCGCUUGAGAGAACUCGGGUGAAGGAACUAGGCAAAAUGGUGCCGUAACUUCGGGAGAAGGCACGCUGGUGUGUAGGUGAAGCCCCUGCGGGUGGAGCUGAGACCAGUCGAAGAUACCAGCUGGCUGCAACUGUUUAUUAAAAACACAGCACUGUGCAAACACGAAAGUGGACGUAUACGGUGUGACGCCUGCCCGGUGCCGGAAGGUUAAUUGAUGGGGUUAUCCGUAAGGAGAAGCUCUUGAUCGAAGCCCCGGUAAACGGCGGCCGUAACUAUAACGGUCCUAAGGUAGCGAAAUUCCUUGUCGGGUAAGUUCCGACCUGCACGAAUGGCGUAAUGAUGGCCAGGCUGUCUCCACCCGAGACUCAGUGAAAUUGAACUCGCUGUGAAGAUGCAGUGUACCCGCGGCAAGACGGAAAGACCCCGUGAACCUUUACUAUAGCUUGACACUGAACAUUGAGCCUUGAUGUGUAGGAUAGGUGGGAGGCUUUGAAGCGUGGACGCCAGUCUGCGUGGAGCCAACCUUGAAAUACCACCCUUUAAUGUUUGAUGUUCUAACGUUGGCCCCUUACCGGGGUUGCGGACAGUGUCUGGUGGGUAGUUUGACUGGGGCGGUCUCCUCCCAAAGCGUAACGGAGGAGCACGAAGGUUAGCUAAUCCUGGUCGGACAUCAGGAGGUUAGUGCAAUGGCAUAAGCUAGCUUGACUGCGAGCGUGACGGCGCGAGCAGGUGCGAAAGCAGGUCAUAGUGAUCCGGUGGUUCUGAAUGGAAGGGCCAUCGCUCAACGGAUAAAAGGUACUCCGGGGAUAACAGGCUGAUACCGCCCAAGAGUUCAUAUCGACGGCGGUGUUUGGCACCUCGAUGUCGGCUCAUCACAUCCUGGGGCUGAAGUAGGUCCCAAGGGUAUGGCUGUUCGCCAUUUAAAGUGGUACGCGAGCUGGGUUUAGAACGUCGUGAGACAGUUCGGUCCCUAUCUGCCGUGGGCGCUGGAGAAUUGAGGGGGGCUGCUCCUAGUACGAGAGGACCGGAGUGGACGCAUCACUGGUGUUCGGGUUGUCAUGCCAAUGGCACUGCCCGGUAGCUAAAUGCGGAAGAGAUAAGUGCUGAAAGCAUCUAAGCACGAAACUUGCCCCGAGAUGAGUUCUCCCUGAGACUAUAAGUCUCCUGAAGGAACGUUGAAGACGACGACGUUGAUAGGCCGGGUGUGUAAGCGCAGCGAUGCGUUGAGCUAACCGGUACUAAUGAACCGUGAGGCUUAACCUU
rnacentral:rRNA from 1 species